rnacentral:rRNA from 1 species
GACGAACGCUGGCGGCGUGCUUAACACAUGCAAGUCGAACGGAAAGGCCCUGCUUUUGUGGGGUGCUCGAGUGGCGAACGGGUGAGUAACACGUGAGUAACCUGCCCUUGACUUUGGGAUAACUUCAGGAAACUGGGGCUAAUACCGGAUAGGAGCUCCUGCUGCAUGGUGGGGGUUGGAAAGUUUCGGCGGUUGGGGAUGGACUCGCGGCUUAUCAGCUUGUUGGUGGGGUAGUGGCUUACCAAGGCUUUGACGGGUAGCCGGCCUGAGAGGGUGACCGGCCACAUUGGGACUGAGAUACGGACCAGACUCCUACGGGAGGCAGCAGUGGGGAAUAUUGCACAAUGGGCGGAAGCCUGAUGCAGCAGCGCCGCGUGCGUGAUGACGGCCUUCGGGUUGUAAACCGCUUUCGCCUGUGACGAAGCGUGAGUGACGGUAAUGGGUAAAGAAGCACCGGCUAACUACGUG